rnacentral:rRNA from 1 species
UACGGGGGGAGCAAGCGUUGUUCGGAUUUACUGGGCGUAAAGGGCGCGUAGGCGGCGUAACAAGUCACUUGUGAAAUCUCCGGGCUUAACUCAGAGCGGUCAAGUGAUACUGUUGUGCUAGAGUGCGGAAGGGGCUGGUGGAAUUCCCUGUGUAGCGGUGAAAUGCGUAGAGAUGGGGGAGAACACUCGUGGCGAAGGCGGCCAGCUAGACCAGUUCUGACACUGAGGCGCGACAGCGUUGGGGAGCAAACAGG